CCGCGAUUCGCCCUUCGGGGUGCCCAGGCGCGAAAACUUUGCAAUACACGAAAGUGUGACAGGGCUAUCCCGAGUGCCAUCCGCUGAGGAAGGCUUUUACCCAGUCUAGAACGCUGGGGGAAUAAGGAGAGGGCAAGUCUGGUGUCAGCCGCCGCGGUAAUACCAGCUCUCCGAGUGGUGUGGAUGUUUAUUGGGCCUAAAGCAUCCGUAGCUGGCUAAGUUAGUCCCUUGUUAAAUCCACCGAAUUAAUCGUUGGAUUGCGGGGGAUACUGCUUGGCUAGGGGACGAGAGAGGCAGACGGUAUUUCCGGGGUAGGGGUGAAAUCCUAUAAUCCCGGGAAGACCACCAGUGGCGAAGGCUGUCUGCUAGAACGCGCCCGACGGUGAGGGAUGAAAGCUGGGGGAGCGAACCGGAUUAGAUACCCGGGUAGUCCCAGCUGUAAACGAUGCAGGCUAGGUGUUUGGACGGCCACGUGCCGUUCUAGUGCCGCAGGGAAGCUGUUAAGCCUGCCGCCUGGGGAGUACGAUCGCAAGAUUGAAACUUAAAGGAAUUGGCGGGGGAGCAC
rnacentral:rRNA from 1 species